rnacentral:rRNA from 1 species
GAUGAACGCUGGCGGCGUGCCUAAUACAUGCAAGUCGAGCGAACAGACGAGGAGCUUGCUCCUCUGACGUUAGCGGCGGACGGGUGAGUAACACGUGGAUAACCUACCUAUAAGACUGGGAUAACUUCGGGAAACCGGAGCUAAUACCGGAUAAUAUAUUGAACCGCAUGGUUCAAUAGUGAAAGACGGUUUUGCUGUCACUUAUAGAUGGAUCCGCGCCGCAUUAGCUAGUUGGUAAGGUAACGGCUUACCAAGGCGACGAUGCGUAGCCGACGUGAGAGGGGGAUAGCCGACAUGGGAGCGGGAACGGGGACAUGGGUACUGCGGGAGGGCGCAGAAGGGUACGUUCGGCAGUGGGCGAGAACAUUGCGCAGCGGGCGGGGGGGAGAGAUAAAGUUGUCGGGUGCGUAAAAAUGGUUUAUGGGGGAAAAAAAAAUUUGAAAGUAAAUGAACAGUGCUUGACGGUACCGAAUAAAAAAGCCACGGCUAACUACGUG